CCUACGGGAGGCAGCAGUGAGGAAUAUUGGUCAAUGGACGAGAGUCUGAACCAGCCAAGUAGCGUGAAGGAUGACUGCCCUAUGGGUUGUAAACUUCUUUUAUCAAGGAAUAAAACGAGGCACGUGUGCCUUUUUGCAUGUACUUUAUGACUAAGGCUCGGCUAACUCCGUGCCAUCAGCCGCGGUAAUACGGAGGAUCCGAGCGUUAUCCGGAUUUAUUGGGUUUAAAGGGAGCGUAGAUGGGUUGUUAUGUCAGUUGUGAAAGUUUGCGGCUCAACCGUAAAAUUGCAAUUGAUACUGGCAGUCUUGAGUACAGUUGAGGUAGGCGGAAUUCGUGGUGUAGCGGUGAAAUGCUUAGAUAUCACGAAGAACCCCGAUUGCGAAGGCAGCUUACUAAACUGUGACUGACAUUGAUGCUCGAAAGUGUGGGUAUCAAACAGGAUUAGAUACCCGAGUAGUC
rnacentral:rRNA from 1 species